GACGUAGGAGGCGAGCGUUGUCCGGAGUUACUGGGCGUAAAGCGCGCGCAGGCGGGCCCGUCGGUCGCGUGUGAAAGCCCCCGGCUCAACCGGGCGGAUGCGCGCGAUACCGCGGGCCUUGAGGGCGGCAGAGGGUGGUGGAAUUCCCGGUGUAGUGGUGAAAUGCGUAGAGAUCGGGAGGAACACCCGUGGCGAAGGCGGCCACCUGGGCCGGUCCCUGACGCUGAGGCGCGAAGGCCGGGGGAGCGAACGGG
rnacentral:rRNA from 1 species